AGACAUAUAUAUUGUCUGGGGGUGAUGCAAAAUCUGUUGCUUUAGGCUGGCAUGUGUUGACCUCAAUAAUUCGUAACAUUCCAUCACAAGAAAUACCAUAAAAGUGGCCAUUGAAGAAUAUGAUGUCUUGGUAGUUUGACCUAGAACAAUCCACGGAUGUCCAAGCUUCAUCUCCAGGAGAAGCAACAGCAAGAUAACAUAUAUCUCCAUAUAUAGCCAUAACCAAAGGGCAUUGUCCAGACUUUGGGGUAGAUGGAUCGGAUGCAAGAGCAAAUUUUUUACAGUAGGCCCGACAAAGUUUUUCAAGCGGACAACACGCACCGAAUUGAUCUUGAAAGGUAGUUUGUGAUGGAAGAGAUAUUUGAAUUCGGGAUAAUGGAUGUAAAAGAUGGAUAUCACGAUCAAGACCAAUGGUGACUAACCAACCAUAUGGAGUUCCCCAACAUUUUGUUCGUUUAGCUUGAGGCAAAUAAUAAUUGAAAAGCCUUUUUGUAGAAUGACAAUAAAAAGAACGAAUUGCUGCUUUCUUAAACUGUUUGUCAUUUUUCCUUUUAGCUAGCAUUAGCCAAGGAGCAAAACGGAUAAUAUUACUCUUUUGUUUUUUAACAACAGAAUUCCAUGACUUGCAAACACAACUAAAUCUCGCAAAUUCAUUAGGAUAAGGUGGCAGUCGUUUGGCAACAAGAUCAAUGAUUUCUUCUGGCAAUUCAGACCAAUUUGCCAUAAUAUUAUUAUAUUAGAGCAACCUUUUUUCUGAAUUCACAACUUUUCUGAAUUUUCAGAUUAAAUCUCCAUCUAAGAAAUCAGUAGUCCUAUAUAUUUAUAGUAAAAACAAAAACUGCAAUAGGAUUUCUUUUCCAAUUAAGGUUCGAAAAUUCAGACAGAGUACUCCUAGUACUAAUUGUUGUUUCAGAAGUCAGCACCUUCAAGGCAAUUUCGUUUUAGCUAAAGUUAAGAAACUUACCUUUUAACAACAACAGCAAAACAGAAAGAGUUACCAGACCUUGAAUUAGAAACUAGAACAGAGAACAGCCGCUUCAGAUCUUUAAGCCAAAGAAGAGAGAGACAGUGCAGAUCUAGGGUUAAUCAACAACAUAAGAUACGAUGAUGAUGAUGAUGAUAUAAGCAACCUGUUGCCCAAGUACAACUGCUUUUAAUGCUGUUUGGUUGGGUAAAGUUGUCAAACACUUCAACAUACAUACUAAUAAAGUGAGUUUUGUUUUUUUCUUAAUAUUAUUUUAAGAGAUUUACCAAAUAUUGAAACACUAAAGUUUGGUACCGAAGGAAGUAUUCAAGCAAUUGCUCUUUUAAUUAAUCAAGGUGUUGUUGACAAUAUACUCCAACAUGAUUUUUUUGGGUAGAUUUUGAUACAUGCAUACAUAUACCUACAUACAAUGAUGCCUUGUACCAAACAGGAUCCUGCCAUUGGAUUACUCAAGUUUCAUUGUGAAGAUGGCACGACAUGGAAAUGGCUGGAUACGAAUGCUCACUAUGGAAUGGCAGUUAUCUGGGACAGAGAAGAAAGAGGACCUUGGCCAUGACAGGAAACAGAGAAGGGGUGCUUCUAGGUUUCGUCAGUAAUAUUUAGGCUGCGCGCUGUUGUGGUGGGCAUCUAAACGUGGCCAGGCCGCCAGGGUGUUGUGAAUUCAGCUGCUAUGUGGAGGCAAUGCUCAUGAAGUCAUUACAGCAUACCAAACUAUAUAACUUCCCUUCUAGACAUAAAGGUAUCAAAUCUAAUCCCUUUCAUCCCUUCCAGUAAACUGUCAGAAACUGUAAAUUGUCAACUAAAGUGAAAAAGGAAACCAUGUAUACUCAUCUUCUGUAAUAUAUAAUAUAUAGUUUGGCCAACAUACCAAACUAUAUAACACAGCAGUGCAGUAUUUCAACAAGUAGCUACGGAGGUUAAACAUUAACAUCUCUUAUCUUGAUACACUUGCCAGGAAGUAUGAAUAUAUAAACAAAAAAAUCAAUCAAUCGAUAUUCGAUACAUCUUACCUGCACUUUGCACUUGUACUCUCUCUAUCCCCAAUGACAUUGGCACUUUACUACUACUUGCAGUCCUGUUAUGAUAGCUUAUUGUUCAAUGUAGCUUAUAGAUUCGCCUCUUGAUAUUAGAUGUGGAGACAAUGCAAAAAGAUUUAUAUGCUGUUUCUAUGAAGAAGUGUUAAAAAUUGACAGAUUAAGAAGACUCCCCUGCAUCUUUUCUCAACACGUCCUAUUACUGACAAGGUAUGGAAAUAAUUAAGCAGGGACGAUGUAAGUGAUAUAAGACAAUGCCUGCAGGGAUGUGCGAAGAUACAUUCAAAUCGAUGAGGAAUAGUUAACACAGGAUUGGGUUAAGUCCAAUAUGUAGCUAAAACUUGCAAUGCAUUGGAGAAGGAACACUUCUGUUAUAAGAACUGAUGUAUUCUUUGUUUUUUGCAUCAAUAAAUAACAUCUCUUUUAACAACUUUUCUUGUUAGUGGGAAAGAAUUAGUAGCAUUCCUAGAAAACACAGGAGGACUUGGUACUUAUGGUGCGAAAUCGAUUCUCAGCCACACACCUGUCUUUGCUUUACUUGGUAACCGGUUAGGAUGGUUUAGGUAAUAACCUUUUCCUUCUCUAGUCAAACUGACAUAAUGCUGACUGUAUUGGGACAAUAUGAUGACUGUAUCAACAACAUCUAUCUAGGCCUGUCAACUAUCCAAACUGAUCCAUGAUCCAAACCGAUCCAAUCCAUUAUCUUUCUAUUUUGGAUAUCCAUUUGGAUUAUUGGAUCCAUUAUCUUUGCUACAACAACCUCUUUCUCUCUCCUCUUUCUUUCUCUGUUUUUCAUCAAUGGAGGUAACAGUUGAGCGAAUCGAGACAGAAGUGAAGAAAAUUGAAGAUCGUUACGAACUAUUCGACGUUCACAUCGGAGACAAACGUAUCUUAACACUCUUCACUGAUUGUGAUUCCGUCAUGAAGAAAUGGGUUUCUGAACUUCGAAAAGCUAAUCGAGAAAAAAAAAAACCGGAUCGGAUCGGAUCGGAUAUCCGUUAAUUUAUAUUGGAUCGGUUCGGUUCAGCUGUACCAAUUAUCCAUUCUGAAUUGGAUCGGAUCACAAUACAUACGGAUCGGUUCGGAUCAGCUUGAUAUCCAAACCGAACCGAUCCAUUAGGCAUCUAUCUUCUUUCUCUCUUGGGCUGGAAAGGAUUUAAUACGAUGUGAUAAGAUCGCUGUGAUUCGAAUUCCGAUGAGUCAAAGGAUUUAAUACGCCGACUGAAAUCCCCAAUACAAUACAGAUAGUUAAGUGGAGUUAGAUGGGCGUUGCAUUGAACUUGCCUAUAAAAGGCUGUAUUGAUGAAGUCCAGGUACAGAGCAAUGGCAUUUUCAAUGAAGUCUUUUUCCUUUUCACUCCUGAGCUUUGGUGAGGAAUUUGUGAGGGAGGCCGACCGAGCGUAUUUGCAGCUUGCAGGUAGUGAAGAUGAGGCCACAGAGACUGAAGAAGAUGACGACAAUGAUGAGUCAGAGUCAGAGUCAGAUUCAGAACCCAAGUCAGAAACUGAUGAAGGUGAAGAUUCUGAUCCAUUUGCAGGGUAUCCAGGUGAUAGUGACAUUUCAGAGGAGGAGGAGGAGCCACCAGCCCGUGAGCCAACUCCAGAUGAUAACGAGAUCAGCACUGAGGAAGAGGGCGAGGAUGAUGAUGAUGAUGAUCAGUUUCCAUGAAGAGCUGUUGAAGAGGAGGGCCGUUCUGUGUGUUUGUGACUUGUGUGGUUUGUUUUUUUUUUUUUUUUUUGUAGUCAUGUAAUUUUUUUUUUUUAAUCAUGUGCUUUUGUUUUUAAUCAUGUACAUUUGUAAUGAACUGCUUUUUUUUAAUCAUGUGUUUUUUUGUAAUCAUUUUAUGAAAUUAGAAAUUUCGGUAAGACUAUUAAAUACCAUGAUUAAACACAAUUUAAAUAAUAAAUUAAUUAAAGUUAUUAGAAAAGAAAACAAGCAUUUACCAAAAAGAUAAAAUAAAAAAAAAAUAUAAAUAAAAUAGGACAUAUGAUCUGGACUUCUAAGAUAUUACAAUCGGCGCAAGAAUUUGUUUUCCAGAAUUCUACUAAGGAAACCACUUUCCUAUUUUGUAGCCUAAAAAAUCUGGAUUAGGAAUUUGAUUUCCCUAAUUUAUAGCUAAAAUCACUCACUUUCCACGGAAUCCAAGUUCCGGCGAACCAAACGUAUUACUAAAUAAUGGGCUUAAGAAGUGGGCUUAAAAUGAAGAGAUAGUGGGCUUACUAAAUAAUUGAUAGGGCUUAAGAAGUGGGCUUAAAAUGAAGAGAUAGUGGGCUUACUAAAUUAGACAUCUUAAUAUACCAAAGACAAAAUAUGGGCCUUGUAACUUUUGGUGGCCUUAAUCGGUCGCCUACAUGGAGAUCCGGCCCUGGCGUUCUUCUUUGUUUUCUUGCUGCUUUGUUGCAUGUUUUCUUGUAGUGUGUUGUGAUGUUGUACCAAGGUUUUGGACUGGCCUGCAAUAGUUCAAUGCAAGAUGUAUGCAGGUUUAUAGGUGUUGAACAACUGAAACAGGAAGAGGUAGAGGUGUGUUUGGGUCUUGGGUUUGGAUCUUGGAAUAGGGCUUUAUUUGAGAGUAAUUAAUUGGCUUCAGUUUGAAAACAACAAAAUGAAAAUGGUCCUUAGAGUAAUUAAUGGGCUUCACAAAAUCAGGACUAAAAUAAGAGGUGUGUUUGGGUAAAAUUAUUGGUUCAUAUACACCUAUCUGACCAUACAUGAAACCUAUCUGACCAUACAUGAAACCAUCCCCUCUUACCAACUCAGGAGCACAUUUUGUAUAUGUUAACCACAAGGGCUCCAUUUUUCGCAGCACAUAAACACACAUAAAAUAAUCUAACACUAACACAUCAAAAACAUCAAAACAAUGAACCAAUAACAUAAAAAUAAUCUAACACUAACACAAUCAACCAAUAACAUCAAAACUAAUUCUAAUAACAAACACAAUAAAUUAAAACAGAAUCAAUAUAAAUAGAUUAAAAAACCAUAGUUUACUAUUAAGUUAAUAAAUCCUUACUACCAUGCAUUGUAUAUCAAAAAUAUAAUCUAACAACAAACAAUCUAAGUAGAAUAUAUCAUCAUUACAUAACAGGCCCGAACCGGCAAGGGUAGAAAUCAAAACAACUACCACUUGCCCAGAUAAUGCACCCAAACCAAACCAAAAGCAAGAAAUAUUUGGAUAUGAUUCCAGACGACCCAAAAAGAUGACUUAUAUCCCAUGACCUAACACCUCCCAAAGACGAAGUCUCAACCGUACCGGCCAAAUAUAGUGUCACCAAGGUAAAACUGCAGAUCAUCUUCAACAUAAUUUGGGUCGGCAGGGCAGUAGUGUUUGACCCUGUUCUCUUUUGCCAUGAUGAUAUCAACUGCCAACUGCUGUCUAUAGAACGGGAUCUCCUCCUGGCCAAACAGGAAGAGCGAAUCAAUUAUGUUGGCCUAUAUAUAACUCUAUUGAAUUGACUAUAUUCUUGUUACCUGGGUGAUAACGGACGUGAGCAUACUUCCGUUCCAAGACUCCAUAAAUUUCAUAACAAAGAUUCCGCAGUCAUGCCUGUUCCAUAAAAGGGGUAGUUUUACAAAUAAAGAAUUAAAUCAGAAAAAUAAAGCUAGCACCAGUAUAGAGGGAAAGCUCACUGAAACUUCAUACAUAAAACCGCGUUAUCUAUGUUGCUUCUGGUCAGUGGUCAUUAACGUACCCAUUAAUUUGCUGCGGGCAAUCAGGAAUUUGCCGAAUCAACCAUGCCGUUGCCGAUUUUCCUUGAGCUGCUUGACAACCAAGUUGUUGCAGUACAGCAUGCACGUUUCGAACCUACGAAAUCAAAGAAAAAAACAAUCUUACGAUUAAUAUUUAGUAGACAAUACCAAAGAAAAAACAAGGAUAAACCACACAAGUUGCUCAAUUUGCACACCAUGUUGGAAACAAAUGGAAAAGUUCCUGAUAGUUGAGACUUAUCAAAGUGAUUGGAGUCAAGGAUUGCUAAUUGGAGCUCUUUUAUGUCGAACACAUACAACAUCCAAUGUUUAGCUUUCAGCACCGGCAUAACUAGCUGUGCAUGCACCCCCCCCCCCCCCCCCCCAAAUAAAUAAAUAAUAUAAGGAUAAACCUACCAUAAGAAAAAUAUAUAAAGAAUAUACAAUGAACAAUGUACAUACUCUUGUGUAGUCCCCAAUCACACCCUCGAGCCUUAAACUGCGGAUUGCAACUAAAAUAUUGAACUCGUCGUGGUUGCAAGAGAAGAUAUGCUGCAGAGUCAUAACUUCAUUAAUAUUAAAAAAAAAAGGUUUGGUUGUUCUAUAAAUCACAAAUAUAAUAAACCAUGUAUAUCAAGUAUGCUAAACCAUCGUCUCAGAAUGCGAGUUAGUGUGAUAGUGAGUUCGUCUCCCACGUGCCGUCGCCCUUUGUCGAGCAUUUAACAAGGCACACCACACAUCCAUCAUCUACAAUCAGACACACAAUAAUUGUAAUAAUUUAAAGUACUGUAGAAUAAAGUAGUUCACAGACAAAAUAUGUUUAGGUCAUCAUAAAUCACGGGCACAUGUAACCUGAUAUGUUGAAUCAAUAUAUAUUCACAAUUUAUUGGCAAGAAAAAUCAGGGGGAAACUUCAUGCUUACGGUUGGCUCAAAGUAGACAAGGUAAAAAAAUUGGAACUUACCCAGUUGCACAACCAACGGUUACCAUGAAUUGACGAGAAUGUACUGCGAGGUACUCUUUCAUGCAAGAUUUCUGCAAUUAUGCAACUACCAAGAAAGACAUUCAAUAUUAAUAUAUACCAUAAGAAAAUGUUUAACAUUUCAUUUUAUUUGCUAUACAAGGCACAAGCCAUGUUUGUUUAUAACACUUACUCUGGGCAGGUUUCGUCGACGAUAUAUUUGAAAGUCUGUUUUUCUUGUUUUGUAAAUCUUUGACUCGGUGUCUUUGCAGCCUUCGAAAGCUCAUCCACAAAAGCUUUUGUGGUGCUCGCAUGAGAGAAAUCUUUCUGAUCUGGAGUAUUGAACAUCACCGGUGAAUCAACAUAACUUGCCAUAGGUCUGAACUCGUGAAGUUUAUUUUUCUUUGGAGUGUGCAGAUAGGGGGAUUGAUUGGCCUUUCGAACGUCGGUGAUUAUAACAGAAUCCCCAUCGUCAGAAUCGACAUGGUUGAUAUCUAGUUUGGACACACUGUCGAAAAGCUCUUCCAGUCGAGCUACUUGAAGUACCCCCUCUUGGAGAGCAACAGACAAACGAGUCUGAAGCUUUUUCACAUCCAUCUGAUGAGAAUAAACUACUUUAAUUCAGAAAAUUUAUAGCACAAUAUGAUUAUAGCACAGGGAUUACAAACAAUGUUGUAUUCUAUUCAAUCAAGUAGUAGACCAACAAAAAAAUAGAUCAUGAUUUAAAGUUAAGAAAAUUUAAUAUUGGAUAACUAUUUCCAGCCACUCAGCCUCUUAAAUUAGAAUAUUUCUAAAAGAAAAUACAUAUACAAGAAGAAGAACAUGGGCAAUUUUAACUAGUCAUUUUUAUUUUCUUUGUAGUAUGAAGAACAAUGUGUACACAUUGAACAUUUAGUUUUAUUUGAUUGGUGAAAAAUCUACAUAUACAGAAACAUUCAAUCAGGUAUAUAUAUAAUUUUAUAUAAAUAUCUAGGUGAACUUGUUUUUUUAUGGCUAAGUUAAUUAGUAGAAACAACCAUUAUUCAAAAAAAAAAAAAAACAUUAGUUCUUGAGAAGGUUUCAAGUUACAAGUUCCUACAAAAUAAAAACAAACAGAAAACAAACCUUGACGAUCCUAGUUUUGAGUUUAGGGUUGAAAGACCAAACGAACCACCAGUGUUGUUAUUUCGCUGCAAUUGUUUCUUCCUCUGGAGAAGAUAGUAACUAUAUAUAAUUAAGACCCAACUUAAUCAAGAUUCAUGAAGAAGAUCUUGAUGACUGAUGAGCAUAUCUGAACAAGAUCUUUAAACUUAAGUGGUGCGCGGCUCGAAAUAAGUACAAUGUUGACUAUAUAAAGUUGCGCCAUAUAGUUUGGUACUAGUCCUUAGGCCCGUGCAAUGCACGUGCAUAUCUGAUUGUUUUAGAGUUUUUUUUUUGGGGGUUUUAUGUUGCUUUUGGUUUGUAACUUGUAAUAUUUUGUUUAGCCCGUUUCAAAAGUCUAUGAUCUGGUAUGAUUUCAUUUAGAAUUAUUAUAAAUCUUUGAGUAUUGAAAUUAAAUGAUUAUUAUAUAUACAUGGAAGUUAAACCCAAAACAUUUGAAGAUAUCCUGGAGAAUGGGAUUUUGCAGUACUCUCAAUUCUCAAAGUCUCAAUUAGAAUUUAGUCUGGCUCAGUUUCAUCACUUUGGGAAACAAUCUUUUCACAGUAGUCCAUUAGCAGUCGAGCGUCUCUUAAUUGGCUUGUAACAGUUAACAUCCUUGAAGGCCCAACUAAUAUAUAAAAUAAUAUUUUUUGAUAUAUAAAUAUAUUUUAUAUUUUUUUAUAAUGAAAGUCAAUUAUUGUGUUUUUUUUUCUCAAAAUUGAUUUUGGUUUGAACCUCGUCUCUAAAUUUUUGUAGUGUGAUGAGUUGAUCUGAUGUUGUAUUUUGUAUUGCAAGAAGAAAUUAUUCCAAUAUCAUUAUCGAUUUUAGUGUUUUUUUUUCGUGGAACGGGUUCUAGAAUAAAAUGAUUAUCUAGCUUCAUCAUGUUAGCCCCCUAAAAAGAAAGAUAUACAUGAAAAUAUAUUGUUUAUGUAAAUUAAUAGUUUAUUAAUUAAUCGAUAAAUUAAUAUUUCGUUUAAUUAAUAAUUUUCUCUAGUCCCAAGGCUAUUAAUUUAUCGAGGUUUUACUGUAUUUUAUUCUACUUGGGAGUGUGUAUACUUUUAUUUUUUUUUACUGGGCUUAAUUAUGCUUGUGAUUUGGUCCAACUGAGUACGGGCUGGACUUGAUUAUACUUGGGAUUGGGUAUUCUUUUAAUUUUUUUAUUGGGCUUAAUUAUUCCCAUGGUCUAAUUGGGCUUACUUAUAUCUGUUAUGGUGGUCCACUUUUGUGUGAUUACAAAUAUACCCAAACUUAAUCAAAAUUCUCUUCAAUUAGACUAUCAAUUUCAAUCUAAUUGAUAGCUUAAUUGAAGAGAUAUUUUUUUAGGGGUAUUUUCUGCUUUAAUAUAGUAUAAUAGAUUAACCUGUUUGGACAAUCUAGUUUAGGUAUUAACCAAACUGGGCCAGUGGGCCAUCAAGUUAGUAGUUAUGUAAUAAUAUUUUGCAAUAUCUUACUAUAAAUAAAAAUAUGGUUUUAUUGCAAUAAAAAUAUAUUAAACAAUGGUUCACAAAUCAAAUAUUUACAUUAAAUCUUAUUGGUAAACUUAUUCUUAAUUAAGUUCAAAACACGUAAAUAUGAACUACCCCAAGUGAGUCGAAUAAGGUAAUAUACGAUGCAUAUAUAGAAAUGCAUGCAUGAUUCCAACAAUUACGUAAAGUGCGUUGCUUGAGAGAAUAAUUAAUUAGGUCAAACUUAAGUGGUCAUAGCAUUUUACCCUACGCUAUAUGAAAACAAUAUACCGAAUGGUCGAAUUGUACUUUUAUAUCAGGGUUGACGUUGUGCGUCUACCCGACGAUAUUGUUUGAUGUUGGUGAUCAACAAGUAAUGGGUGACUUAUAAGUAUCGACUUUCUUUCACCAAAUAUUGAUGCAUAGACGUGCAUGCAUGAUUCCAACAAUUACGUAAAGUGCGUUGCUUGAGAGAAUAAUUAAUUAGGUCAAACUUAAGUGGUCAUAGCAUUUUACCCUACGCUAUAUGAAAACAAUAUACCGAAUGGUCGAAUUGUACUUUUAUAUCAGGGUUGACGUUGUGCGUCUACCCGACGAUAUUGUUUGAUGUUGGUGAUCAACAAGUAAUGGGUGACUUAUAAGUAUCGACUUUCUUUCACCAAAUAUUGAUGCAUAGACGUGCAUGCAUGAUUCCAACAAUUACGUAAAGUGCGUUGCUUGAGAGAAUAAUUAAUUAGGUCAAACUUAUAAUUAGGUGCGUUGCUUGUUUAGGUAAAUAUUAGGGUUGACGUUAUGCAUCUACCCGACGAUAUUGUUCGAUGGUAGGCAACAAUAGUUUUGGGCUUUGGGUGAUUCAUCGAAAGAAUUAUAAACGGAUUUUGGUUGUUUUUAUGCAACAUUUUUAGGUUUCUAAAAUUAAUUGAGCUAGCUAGGGCAACUAAGCUCAACAUGGGACACCCACAUGGCCACACCCACACAGACCACUUUCAAUUUGUGGUUUCUACUUUCUAACUUCAGAACCAAAGUCAAAUUUCAUAAAUUGAAUAUCUGACAGAGAGUUGACAGGGAUCAUAAAGGCGAAGUAUUUCUUAGACUAGAGUCAUGGUUAAGUUUGGUUUACAUAAACAGACAGUUGGGAUGUUGGGGAGAAGAGAAGAUGUGAAUGCACAUGUCUCGUCUAAUAAAGUCUGAUAUUUUGAAGUACUAGCUACACAUGCUCUAGACACCUAUGUACUGCAAGUGUAUAACCUACCUAUCCACACACGCUGACACGCUACCCCAUCAAACUAUUAAGUAUUAACCAUCCACACACGCUAAUAGGUGAAGUACAUACGCUCAUAGGCUAAAAUAUCGUUUAGGGGCGGAUAUCCGAUCCCCCAAAAACCGGAAAAUAUCGCGGAUAUCCGACCUCAUGUGUCGGAUUGUAUUGGUUUGGCAAAUUCGAAAAAAUCGGUUUAUGCCGCGGAUAUUCGCGAAUAUUCGCGAAAAAUUCGGCAAAUUGGGACCCACUUGUAUCAGCAUUAAAACAUACAUUACAAAUUAAACACACGACAAAUCAUACAAGGAAGCUAAGACGGAACUAUUACACAAGCUAGUUUUACUCAUAGGUGAAAAAAUCGUAAAUAUCGGGCGGAUAUUCAUAGAAAUUUUAUAUGUUUACAAUACAAGAACUAAACACAAACAACCUCAUUACAACUCAACCCAUAGUUUUAUUUUAAUAAUCAAAAUAAAAGACAUGCUAACCCCAGAAUGAUAGACGCCCCUUGUCAAACCGAUGAGCUUCGAGUCGCAUACGUGUGGGGACGAACUCAGUACAGUAAUAUUCCCAUGACAUUGUUUGCUCGUACGACCUGAAUUGGUCAAUAUGCAUAUCAUAUGCAUCUUGAUCCAUACAAUACGGAGCAAAUGAUUCAAAUAUAGGAAAUCUCGAGUAUUGUUGAACCGGCAUUAAUGUAUCGGCUGACUGCACGUCGGACCCACUUGUCAUUGGGGCCAACCAACUCCCGAGGAAACCAAGAACCACUGUCAUCUGGUUGGGUUUGGUAGGAUGGUACACUGGAAUCAUCACUUUGGGAGGUUCCUAUGUUACCAAUUCGAUACCAAUUAUUCAUUACACAAAAACAAACCUUGGAUACAAACAGUAUACUGGUUUGCCAAAAGUGAGAGAGAACUUCACUUUGGCAUGGGCGUGCUUUUUUUUCGUUUCUUUCUGAUAUAUUGCUCUUGGAGGGCCAUCAAGUUCGUCGCGAAAGUUUCCAAACGUCUAGUGCCUUUUGGACAUUUUUUUGAUAAUCUCAUCGAAAAUUCUAGUUCGGGGGGAUUAAAAUUAAAUGUGUUAAUUUUAAAAUCGAAAAUUUCCAAAAUUUCGAUAAAUAUCGGUUUUUGCCGAUGUAUGCCGCGAAUAUCCGAUUUAUGCCGACCGGCAUGGGGUGUUUUAAUAUCCGAAUAUAUUCCGUGUGCCGUACCGUGCCGAUUUCUGGAAAAACGGAAAAUAUCGCGAAUAUCCGCCCGGCACGCACGAUAUUUUCACCUAUGCAUACGCUACCUCAUCAAGUACCAAUUUUGGUUUUCAUCCUCAACCUUUCCUUUUCUACUCUGGUUUUGGUAAUCGAAGAAACAUUAAUAUAUACAAUGAAGAAACAUUAAUAUUUACAAUUAUAUAGCUAAGUAAAAUAAAUAUUUGUUGCUUCUUAAAUAUCAAUUUGAUGUCAAAAUUCAAAACACUAGCUAGUGUCAUGAUGUCAUCCACAAUAAAGUCAAAAUUCUCUACUAUAUUUGAGUUUCUUUAAACAUUAUUUAUUAAAUUAUUUAUUUAUCUUUAUUAUAAUUUAUAUUUAUUCAUUUAAAAAUUCAAUUAAAACAAAACAAAAGAGAAAAAAAAAAUGUGAUUUCAAUGUAGUUUACCAUUUCGCCCAAUGAUUUAAGCUGCAUGAUUUCAAUAAUUUUUAUUUUUAACAUUACCAAUUAAAUGAUGUAAUUUUUGAAGUAAUUGUUUUUGUUUUUUUUUCAGGGGACGAAAGUCCAAAGAUAUGAUCUGCUAGAAGGGGACGAAAGUCCAAAGAUAUGAUCUGCUAGAACCCCAAGAAAUAGUUCAUAUUGUGGUGAAGAAACUAGAAAGAGACAAUUAACAUAGAAAACGAAACAAAAUUAACACAGAUUCCGGCAUUCAGUCAGCCAUUCAGGUGCACUACUACCCAACAAAGUGCCUUCAACAUGAUACAGAUAACAAUGGAUGAUUUAACAGAUUUUUGUCUUCUUCUCUUCAUUCAACUCAGCUUUCAAUUCCUUCACUUGUUUCUGCAAAUCUUCGAUGAUAAGCAUUGUUUGCCCUUCAUGUUUUUUAAACUUUUGGUAUAGUUCAUACCAUUCUAACUUGAUUUUCAUGAACUCAUUCCGAAUCAAAGAACCAUCACUUAUUGAUUUUUCUAUGUCUUCAAAAUCAUUCAUUGUUUUGAUGAACUUUUGGACCUUUUGCGUAAUGGUUAAAGAUGGAGGUUCAUCCAUCUGAGAAUAAAGUGGAAAUGGAUUUGUGUAUGAUGGUGAAGCCAUUCGAAAAAGAUGGUGGAUGGGAGUAAAGAAGGCUUGUUCAGACUUGAGAGAGAGAGGUGACCAUAAAGACUGAGAAGAAGUAUAUAGUAUAGUAUAGUUAGUUGGUAUAAAGUUAAGCACUCUUGGGAACUUCAUACUUAUUAGCUACUAGCUAGCUAGGUAGGUAGGAUAGGAUAGUAGAGGUAGACUGGUGGUAAUGUAAUGUGUAUAGUAUGGGGAAGUUCUCAGACAAGUCAAGUCCAGUCAUGUCAUACACAUCUCCCAAAGACACCAACAGUCUCUCUCUUUCAUGAGUAAACUUUUCACCAUGACUCGAGUCCAAGCUACAGACACUGUCCAAGCCUCUCUCAAGUGUUGAAUUUGAAUGUGAUCUCAUAUGACAUAAUCUCGUUUCCCAAAGGUCAUAUGUUUGGUCAUCAACUGAUCACCUGUUGUGCGCGGCGGAAACUUAUUGCACCAAUACCCAAGAUUGAUAUAGUGUAUGAAAGAUGACAAAGCAAGUAGUAAAGAAGUAAACCUACUUAGCAACAACAAAUAAUAGAGAGAGACACCAAAAUAACGUGGUUUGGCUUGAUUGCCUACGUCCACGGACAAACAAAUAGAACUUUUACUAUUGGAGAAGAUAGUACGAAGCUCUCAAACUUGCCAAUGGCUUCUCACAAUCUCUCUCACAUCUCAAAAUUAGGUUUUCCAACUUCUAAUUGGCUUUAUAACAUAGCCUUCAAACACGAAAAUGGGCUUAAACAGGCCCAUAUGCACAAAACCAAAGAAGGACGUACGUACGUCAAAUUGACGUUCGUACGUUCAGCUUCAAAACAAACAUCUGUGAUACGGGACGUACGUACGCCCUAACUACGUACGUACGUUUCCAGACAAAAAUAUUGCCUCCGUCCAAAAAAUCCAACAUCACCACCAUAGUUCCAUACCAAGAAUAACGAGAUUUGACCAAAAUCUAGGUUUUCUUACCCCAUUUGACUAUAAUUGCUGGCCUCAAAUCAUUCAAUCCAAAUUGACUAAUGUCGUAGCCGUAUUAUUCACGAAGAUUUAGCAGUGUGGCCGCACCCACACCAUUGACUAAUGUCGACUAAUUUUUAUGUAUUUUUUUACCUAUCUUUAAUUACACAAAAUAAAUUAAUUAUAAAAAUUAAUUAAUUUGUAAGGGUAUAUAGGUCUUUUAUAUUAGACAACUAGUAAUUAACAGUACAAUGUUACUAAUUAAUUACUAAUUCAAUGAAUAAUAUUUAUUGCUUCUUAAAGUCCAUAUAUAGAAAUUACAUAAUAUGUUUAUAUUAAUUAAUUAAAAUUGAACAUAUAUUUAUUAAUUAAAUAAAUUUUAAAGCUAGACUUGUCAACCAUCUCCAACCGUUCCCCUAUAAUUUUCCUCUAUUUCAUUGUUUUUGUAGGAAAAGAAUGAAGGAAACAUUUGUAGACCAAAACAGAUUUUCCUCCAUUUCCACCUCCAAAAGACUAGAUAUGAAGGAGAAGGUCUUUUGGAGGUGGAGGACCACGGGAGAUGAAUAGUGAUUGUUUUAUAGAGGAAUGGAUGACAUCUGGAGAUCCUUAUUACAGUAAAUGAAUAAUAUAUUACUUGAUCAAUAUAUUAGUAUUUAUUAUUUUACAUUACCAAUUCAAGUUCAAGCGGAGUUUCAGGACACGCUAUAAAUUUACGAGUCGAGCUUCAACAUUUAAACCUCAUAAAGCUCGGUUCAAUAGCUACCUUCUUUUACUUCAACAAUACAUUGGAAUAUAGGUAUGUUUCUGUCAUAUAUUAUCAUCGAGGCAUUUUGGGAGUCAAGCGUGCUUCGGGUGGGAGUAAUUCUCAGGAUGGGUGACCUCCUCACGUCUAGGCUGCGGCCUAAUAAAAGCCUACACUGUCGGAUGUCCGUAGUGGCAAAAUGGGGAGCAAUGAGCAUAUGAACUUGGACAGAAGUCAACUAUCGUCAGCCAAAAGGUCAAAUUCAGUCCUUGUGUCAAACUGAAAACAUGCCAUUUUUGGUAGGCCAAAUCCCACACAUUCCACAAGAAUGUUCUUUACAAAGUAUCUGGAAAUAGAAACUAUCUUUACUCUUUUUUGUCUUAUUAUUACCAAAAUAGGUAAACAAAAUACCAAAUUUAGCCCUCGCAUCAAAAGUUUGAUCAAUUAUUACACCACCAACCCAUCUUCUUACCUUAAAACAACACAAGAAGAUAGUAACAGUAUAACCCUAUAUUUCUACUACUAGUGCUCUGUUCUCCAUUUCUCCUUCCCUCCGACACUAAGGUACCCUUACCUCUCUUUCUCUCUCCUUUCCCCUUUAAUCACAAUCUUGGCUUUUUUUCGCAGUUAAAUUGAGCAUCUUCUCCGAUAAUAUCUUCUCUCUCUAUCUCUUUAUUGUAUUGUGUUGGUUUUAAUUUUUCUACUAUAUUUGAAUUCAUAUAUUGUUUUUUCUUUUGAUCUGAUCGGAAUGAAGGAUUUGGUGUCUACUUGCUAAGGUUGUCUAAUCAUAUCAGGAUUUGGUGUCAACAUUUCCAAUUUUGUUUUUCAUUCCAGCCAUAUCUGAGAAAAUUGGUGGUAGACGUUUAGGGUUAGGGUUAAAAUUGGUUUGCAUGCCACGUAGAUUUAGUUUAUCUCCUACAAAUUGAUUUUAUUUGGUAAUGUUAUUGAGAAGAAAAUGGUUAUUAUGGUCAAUGUUGUUGUUAAUGGCGGGGAACAGAUUAUCAAGAAGACAAUUCAAAAUGUGACUUUGAACUUGUAGGAAUUCCUAAAAGUAUGUAUGAGAUAGACAUCAUCAGUAGUUGGUGUAAUCUACUAUUUCCUUGUAAUUGAACCUACUUGUCGUUCUACCACAAGAUUUACCACCAAUGAAAAUGAAAAUUAAAUUUGUGUUUAUUUUUUGUUAUGGUUGGACUUGUUAUUCAGAUGGAUGCCCCUCCGCUACAACAACGUGUGCCCAAUGCUCAGUGGUUUACCAGGGUUCUUAGGGAUUAUCAUGUCCAGCGGCCACGAAGAUUUCUAAGUUUUCAUCAGUUAGUAAUCUUAAUUUCUAUAUUUAAGAAAAAAUUACAAGUUUAGGGAAUUAAUGUUGGGUACUUGUCAAUUCCCGAUAAUGCAGUCAUUUCCAUCUCAGUUUAAGUGGAGACUUAGACGCGCAAAGAUCUUAGAAGUGCUUCGUCAGCACGGUGGACGCUGGGUUGGACGGAGGGUAUAUGACCACCAUCGCCACUAUGCUAUUCACCAUGGACUAUGGAGGACAAUUGUGGAAGAUAAUAACUUGCAAAUUGGCGACUGUGUAGGGUUCGAGCUGAGGGGUUGGGGUAUUGACUUCACGACCUGGGUGAUCCGGAUUAGUAGGGCUGGUGGUGAUGAAGAAGAAAUUCUCCCAGAUGAUGGAGGACACGAUAUGUACUUUGACAGCGAUGAGGAUUCUGGUAGUGAUGACGAUGCUACUCCCUCCCCCACCCCCCCCCCCCCCCCGGAUUUAAUUUGAUCAAUCCAGUGCAUGUGUAUCCACCUGAGGUAAUUGUGUUGAGCGACUCCGAUUAGGGAAGUGAUUUUCUUUGUUAUUAAGUUUGGUAUUUUAGCUCUUUAGGAGAUGGUACAUCUUGUACUGUACAUAUUGGAUGAUAGGUUAUUUCUUUCUAGCUAGGGCUUUAUAUGAGAUGCAGUAUGAUUAUUGGAUCAUGCAGGCAGAUUCUGAGCUAGGCUAUAUUUUGGAAAUUGGACUCCCUGUAAUAUGUAUAAGGUGCAUUAUGUUUAAAUAUUUACCCUACUAAGUAGUAAUUUGAUGGUGUACGUCUACAUUUAUUUUUCUAGCCGGCCUGGAAUCUUUUUGGUUUGGAGAAUAUAAAUAAAUAGUAAUGUUUGAAGGAACACAUGGGAGGUAUGGUACUAGGGUCGUCUGGACGAGUGUUUGCAGACAAAGUGCUACUGGGGGUGCACCACAUAAAAAUAAAUUAUAAACAACAAUGUUUUCUGAGUACUAGUACUUGGUUUCUGUUGACAUGGAUGUGAACAUAAAAGUUGUAGGACACGAUCUAUUAUAGAUACACUAUAUCAGCCACUUGCACUUGAUCAGGCAUCAGUCCAAACUCCAGGUCCAUUGCACCUUUUCAACACACAAACCUUUGAACAAACAUAUAACACCUGUCUUUCUGGAUCAGAUUCACCUUUUCAUUCUAUUUUAAACGAGAUCAAACAUAUAACACCUGUCUUUCUGGAUCAGAUUCACCUUUUCAUUCUAUUUUAAAACUUUUCAAACAUAUAAAGCACCUUUUUAUUCAAAAUUUGAAUAUUUAUAUUUUCCCGGUCCAAACAAAAAGUUGAAUGGGUGGAGCCGUGGAGGGUACAGUGGUACACACAAACUUUGACAUGACAACGAUUAUUUGGAUUUUGGACACAAGGGUCGGAAUGGAGAAUCCACUUUGAAAUCUACCUCGUGGGAGAAAAAAAAAAAAGACGGCAUCUGAACAGCCGUCCUAAAUUUCUGACAUAGUCUUACCCGCCAGAAACUGUGGGAUAAUUGUCUGAUAGAUUUGAUUUUGAACUUUCUUGCAGUUGUAUUAUUGACUUAAUAAAUAUUCAUAAUGAUGUGAUAAUGCAAUAAAGGUGCACAAAUUCUGUGUUAAAAUGUCAUUACAAUAUUACAUAGCAUAGGUGAAAAUAUCAGUAAAGGGCGGAUAUCCGAUCCUCAAAAAAACGGAAAAUUCCGCGGAUAUCCGACCUCAUGUGUCGGAUUAUAAAGGUUUGGCAAAUUCAAAAAACCGGAAAAUAUCGCGGAUAUUCGCGAAUAUUCGCGAAAAAUUCGGCAAAUUGGGAGGCUUUCUGCACUUUCCGUGAUUUUUUGAAUUUUUCGAUAUAUAAACAUAUAAUUAAAAGAAAAACAUACAUUACAAAUUAAACACACGACAAAUCAUACAAGGAAGCUAAGACGGAAGUAUUACACAAGAUAGUUUUACUCAUACGUGAAAAAAUCGUAAAUAUCGGGCGGAUAUUCAUAGAAAUUUUAUAUGUUUACAAUACAAGAACUAAACACAAACAACCUCAUUACAACUCAACCCAUAGUUUUAUUUUAAUAAUCAAAAUAAAAGACAUGCUAACCCCAGAAUGAUAGACGCCCCUUGUCAAACCGAUGAGCUUCGAGUCGCAUACGUGUGGGGACGAACUCAGUACAAUAAUAUUCCCAUGACAUUGUUUGCUCGUAUGACCUUGGAUACCAAUUAUUCAUUACAUAAAAACAAACCUUGGAUACAAACAGUAUACUGGUUUGCCAAAAGUGAGAGAGAACUUCACUUUGGCAUGGGCGUGCUUUUUUUUCGUUUCUUUCUGAUAUAUUGCUCUUGGAGGGCCAUCAAGUCCGUCGCGAAAGUUUCCAAACGUCUAGGGCCUUUUGGACCUUUUUUUGAUAAUCUCAUCGAAAAUUCUACUUCGGGGGGAUUAAAAAUAAAUGUGUUAAUUUUAAAAUUGAAAAUUUCCAAAAUUUCGAUAAAUAUCGGUUUUUGCCGAUUUAUGCCGCGAAUAUCCGAUUUAUGUCGACCGGCAUGGGGUGUUUUAAUAUCCGAAUAUAUUCCGUGUGCCGUACCGUGCCGAUUUCUGGAAAAACGGAAAAUAUCGCGAAUAUCCGCCCGGCAAAAACGUAGAAAACAAUUUUAGGGUUGCAUAUAAAUCAAAAGUCUCCCAGUUGAGAGUGUGGACGAGGUAAGCGAUUCGUUGGUCAUUCAUAAAUCACACAUCUACUUGAGUAUGGAUUGCCUUGCCUUCUCAGUUAAUUCAGGAGCAUCACAAUCGACGUCUGCAACUAAAAAAAUUAAUUUUAGAAGAUUGUCGGGUUCUUUUGUUCAUCUUUAUAGAACCUGAAUUGAAUUUUAGAAACCCCCACCUAGUACUAAAAUUAAUUGGACCUGCCAAGACCACUUGUAAUUUUAGAAACCACCAUCUACCAUCUAAACCCUAAAAUUAAUUGAAUUGGACUUUCCAAGACCACUUGUCUAUGUAGUUUCACAAGGACAUAUAUGACCACAUGUGUAUGUACUUUAUGAGGCUGCCUGGACCACUUGUGUAUAUAUUUAUAUAAUGUUAAUAAGCCUGUCUGGAGUCUGGAGUCUGGACCGCUUGUGUCUUGUUAAAAAACUAAAGGCCUUUUAAUAAACAGACAAACCAAAACCCUAGAAAAUAUAUAACUUUAGAACUUCCCUUUUCAGUAACCUAAUAAUUAAACAUUUGGUCGAAACAGUGAGAAAGCGACAACGGCGGUAAAGACGACGAUUAUUGCUUGAUUUCUAGCCGGUUUUGAACCACUUUUCACACUUUCAAACUACAGGUACCUUCUUGCUUGUUUUUAUGUUUAGUUUUCUGUUCAAUUUUCCCAUCACAGUUGCGAUUGUUUGAUGGAAAAUAGCAAACUUAUCGUAUAUCUUGCAUGUUUGUGGGUUAGGGUUUCUACAUGUUGUUUUACUGUGAACAUGUGGCCGAAUUUGCUUGUGCAGAUUAGGGUUUUAUAAAAAUCAAGUUUUGAGGUUUAGGGCUAGGGUUCUCUAGAGAGGGGAAAUAUGGUCUAUAUGGGGGCUAAGGUUAGGGUUUAUAAAAAUCAAGUUUUAGGAUUUAAUUUAAAGGUGUUUUAAUAGUGGCAUUUGUUUUAAUCCUUGGGUUGAACUUAAAAACCCCCCCUUUCAAGCAUUAAAAUCUGGUCUAUCUAUUUAAUCAAGUUAUUUUUGGUUAAUAAAAAUAAAAUCUUAUGACCAAACUCAUAAAGGUUUUAUUUUUAAUUUGUGCUGAAGUAGGAAUUUUUUUUGUAGAUUCAAUACAUUUUCGACUUUGUUUUGAACUUGAACGAAGUGCGUGUUUUUAUUUAUGAACAUGAUCUGUCUUAUUAAUCUUAUCAAAAUUUUAUAUAUAUGAAAUAUGUAUUAUUAAGUUAUAUAUGUGAACAUGAUCAUGAUUAGGGUUAGUAGCUAAAGAAUUGUAUAUUCUCUGUUUUUAUUCCUUGUGCGAAAUUUGAUCAAUCAUGUAUUUUUUUUAUUUCUCAUACUUGCAAAACGUUCGUUCGUAUGCUUGAGAUAGUUCUCUGCGGUUGAUACAGCGUGGACAAACAACUUCUCCUCCUGUUUGUAUCUGAACUCUGAAGGUAUUCAACUUAUUAUUGUCUAUUUUACUUAUAUAACACGCAAGUAAUUUAAUUAUAUGUUUUUUUCUAGAGCUAAGUGAUCUAUCCUUGAUUCGUUCGUAUACAUAAUUAUAUGUUCACCAUGGUUUAAAAAGCCGUUUUUGAGGGGAGCCUUGAGACGCGCCGCGAAGUGAGGUGGUAAUAUAAGGCACAGGUUGCUAUGCCUCUAAUGCAUAUGCCUGUCAACCUGAUCAUAUUCUAAAAAUGAUUUGAUUUUGUGAUGGAGAUUUUGCCAAUUUAUGUAGCCACUACCAUUUUCGUCUACACACUAGCUAGCUAGCAUUUUCGUCUACACACUAGCUAGCUAGGCAGGUGGAUAUGUUCCUGACAUCGAAUUCAUUUAUUGCUUACGCGUAUACAAAAUCAGAGAUCAUAUAUUUAUUGCUUACUUUGGAUUAAUAAAAAAUUGAACAGUAGAAUUAUAAUUAAUUGAUACUUGGAUUUAGUUGUUUUAGUCUAAUAAAGCACAAACUACUAUGUAUAUACAGAACAAUGGGAAAAUAUCCUUUCUAUGUUGUUAAACGAGGGAGGCGUCCAGGUAUCUAUCGUACCUGGGAGUCGUGUGAAGAAACAACCAAAGGGUUUAAGAAUCCUCUAUUCUGGGGUGUUCAUUCUCUAGAAGAAGCUAUGCGUGCCUUCAGUGGCAACGAAUGCCGAGACAGUCGAUUUAGGGGAAGGGAUGACUCCGGAAGGCCUAGUGAUCACAUUGAACCAAAAGAAUUGCUUAUGUCCACUGCUCGAGAAAGUAGUCUUCUGGUUCCUUGUGUUGUGGACGGCGGUAGUUGGUUGAAGUGGGUGAAGUCAUUUAUCAUUGUACUGCUAGUUUUGAUGAUUGCUGUUUUACUUAAACUUUUGUUUGUACUUUGAUGUUGGUUGUAUUUAUGAAACGUACGAAUUUCAUUCGUGGGGAAUGUAUUUUGCUUUGUACUUAACACAAACAAUAUGGGAUAAUAUUAAUAGUUGUGUACACUCAUGAGGGUUAUUAUCUGAUUUUUGUGCAUUGUGUUUUAUCAAAACCCGAGUACAUAUAAUUGUAAGGUUGGAUCGUUUUUUGUCUUUUUUAUAUCAAAUAAACUACGCAGAUGCCUAGAGAACCAGAAAUGCUGCAUCCAGUGUUCUUUCCCCAUGAUCCUGAAAGGUGGUGGUCCGUAAUACUGAAACGUUGGAAUGUUGGAUACCACUGUAGGAACACGAGGAUGGUAAUCAAAAAUAUUAUUGUUGUUUGUGUUAUCGUAAUUGAUUUUCAUUUUGAAUAUUAAAAGCACAUCAUUUAAAUUGUGGUUGUUAUCCUUUUAAUUAAAUAAUUGCAGGCCUUCCCCAAAAAAUUGCAAAAACAUCUCAGGGAUGGACAGAAUCUCAUUAUCUCUACUGCGGGUCACCCAUAUUUCAGAGGUUCUGUCCACUAUGAUAACAACCACAACUGGUACAUCAAUGGGGCAUGCUGGAGUAAGGUUGUCAGGGACUUGGAUCUCAGGGUUGGUGAUCGCGUGCUUUUUGAACAUAUGAGAAGGGAACAAAAAAUGGCAAAACCGCCAGCCGGCGUCACCAUUUUCAGACUCGAGGUAAUUUGUUUUGUAGACAAAUAGAUUAAUUUGAGAUCUAUUUAAUUAUUAUUAAAUAUGGCACCACACCUUUAAACUGCAGGUGGCACGCAGACCCAGGCAUGGCCAUAGGCAAGCUUCCCCUUCCCCUCCUCUUCACCUACCUCCUACCUUCAUGGUACGCAUACGCACUCGUGCUGAUCUGAGGAGCGUUGUUCUAGAGGAAGUUGGUCCUUCUACUCGUCGUCAUGGUACUCCACGCUGUCAUCAAACAUCAACUUCAGCACCACGAUCCCCUGGUGUUGGCCGAGGCCGUCCAAGCUUUGUGCAAGCUGCUGCACCACGGGCACCGCCAUCCAAUCAUCGUGCCCAACAACACCACCAGGCACCACCUUAUGCUUCUCGUCGCCAUGGUCGUCCGAGGCAGGUUGCUCAAGAGGCAGUUGGUCCAUCUACUCGUCGUCAUCUUCGACAACCUGCUACUGCACCUCCAACUUCUCGAGGUAGUCCACACUGUCGCCAACCUUCAUCUUCAGCACGACGAGCCACUGAUGGUGGCCGAAGUCGCCAAGUUCAUGCUUCUAGUCAUGUGGAAUAUGUGUCAUCGGAAUGGACCAAUGAAGAAGAUGAGGUGUUAUCUGGUGAGGAUCAAGAGAACCCGGUCGUUCUUAGUUCGGAUUUUGACAGUGACAAUCCAAGUUUGUCAGUUGAAAACAGUGACGACACUGAUUUUGGAAGUGAUGGUUCGGAUGGUGAUGGUUCGGAUGGAUAGACAGACUCGAUGUGUUGAUAAGUCUUGCUUUGAUGAAUUUUAAAGUUGCAUGAUGGAUAUAUUGUUGUUUUGUUUGUUUGUUUUUGGACAUAUUAUUUGUGCAGCAGGUUAGACAUGACAUGUUUAUGUUUUAUUUUGGUGGAAAAGUGUUGGACCGGGUUGUGUGUCAUGAACUUAUUGUGAUUUAUUAUAUGUAUUAUUUCACAUCUCUUAAUGAGUACACAAAAAAUGUAAAACCAAAAAUUUAGAUGGAUUUAAUCUAAAAAUUAAGUGGGGGUUGGCACCUUUUUUCAAGGCCUAGACUAGGCUAGGGCGCUAGGCUAUAGAUAGGUUGUUGGAAAGGCCCUGGUUGUUUGCCUUUGGGCCUUACACUGGCCUCAGGCCCUUUCUCUGUUUUUAAGGGUUAGGCUUUAUGUACCCUCCUCCCCCGUUUUAUUAAGGGAAAUCAUAUUGCCACCCCAGCCGUUUACAAAGAGCUAUCCCACUUAUCACAAGAACCCUUAAAAAACUUAUGUACACCCUAUACUAAGAGCCACCCGCCCACAUAAACCAUUCAAUCCCUUCAUCUUCCCGAUUUAGAUUUAAAAAACAGUGGAACACAUAGCAUAUAUCAAAAUCAAAUGGAAAAAGAAGAAAUAAUUUGGCAAGAAAGACAUGUUCCAAUGUGAUGGGUGGAAACAAAAUGGUUGAUGGCUAGCGUGCAGUGGGGUUCAAAUAAAAUUGAACUUGCAUUAGUCCCCUCCUUUGAUUUACCCAAGAAUUCAAUAUAUUAAUUCUAUCAGUAACACCGUCUUUGUUCGUGUAAAUAAAAUCAAAAAUUGUAGUUCGAAAUUGAAAAAUAAUUUAAUUAGAAGAUAUUGGAAAAACAUAUUUAUGAUAAAUUCAAAAAUAAAAAAGAAUUUAAUUAGAAAAUACGAAUUACAAAUAAAAUUGAGCACUUAUUUGAUCUGAGUGUAUGUCGUUCUUUGUUAAUGGAAAAACACAGUGAGAGAGACAAAGAGUGAAGAGAUGGAGAGAAAGAUUUUUUUUUUGACGGGUGGCUCAUAGUAGAAUUGGUGCCCUAAAGAUAAAUUAUUUUUGGUGGGGUGAACUAAAAAAAUGGGAUAGCUCUUUAUAAACUACCGGGGUGGCGGUAUGAUUUCCCUUUAUUAAUGCACAGGUAGGUACCCGGGGUCCAUGCCAAACCCCCAUUUGGAAAUUAAAAAACAAAUAAAAAUAAAAAAAGUAAAAAAUUUACUCUAACCACAAUCAAUAUUUUGACGGUGAAGACUUUGCAUAGUGCGCAAUGACAAGAAGAAGUAUGAAAUUAAAUUUAAGAAUACAUAAGUCUCAAAUAUUUCUUAAUUACUAAUUGAAAACUUAAAACCAUUGUUUCAUCGUCAGUGUUUAAGACUCCAAAAAACAUCCCCAUUUGGUUGAGUGUGCAAAUACGCGUCACCCAUAUCCGUAACGACAACACCCGCAAUGGGUGAAUCGGUACCUAUAGACAAAUGAAAAGAAAAUAAGAUAUUAAAAUCCUCAAUAUAGCAUCGCAGUGAAGUCAUUCACUAAAUAAAGGACCCAAACCCUAUAGACAUACAAGUUAGUUAUUUAGUACACUAAUAAAAUAUCUUACUUUGGUGUUUACGUCUACGCGGACAAGCAUUGCACCUAUGACCCACUUCAUUGCAAAAGCUACAUGUUGGAGCUUUCCUAGACGAUGUUACUUCUGGGGGCACAUCAGCAAACACUCCCGUUCUUUCACCUGUCUCAUUCAUGUUAUGAACAGGGCUAAAACAUCAGGGAUACAAAGCAAAAAUGCUGAUAGCCACGGUCAAACAAAUAAAUAAUACCUCCUUCAGAACCAUGUUCAUGAUCAGUGACCUCAUCAUCACUAAGUAGACCUACACAUCACAAAAUUGAUAAAACACAACAAAUGACGUGUAAGUAGCUGUACAUAUCAGAUACAUAACGUACUCGUAUGACUACACUACUGUGUACUCUAAACUACAAACAAACAAGACCCAAAUUAAGAAAAUCUAGGGAGAGAUAAUUACUAGGGCAUGUCCUCCUUGAAUGGCCAACAAUAUGACAAAUUCCACACCUUGUGGAUGUACGUUGGUGGAACAUCUUGCGCUUUGCCCUUCUUGGGCCACCUCUUCUUCCUAGAUCGCGUUGUGGAUCAACAAUAUUGUCAGGGGGGAAGGACUGUGGAGGAGUAGACGCAACCGGCUCCUCCUCAAAACCCAAAGGAUUUUUCGGGACUGGUGUUUCAUCAAACCCUUGUGCUACCUCACCUUUGUCAAAAGCUGCAAUGUGGCCUUUAACCAUAGUACAACGCUGUACUGAUUCACAUCCCCACAUAAACAGGUCACGACUAUAUUCCUCAAGCUCCUUUAAACGAAGUCCAAAACCAAGCCUGCAUGAAGUUGUUGGGUUUGUUCCAAAAUCUAAACUCGAUGAUUUAGCUUCUCGGGUCCACCUGUGCAGAAUGCAGCUUUUGGGCAAUGCUUUGACAUGUGUAUGCUUUAAAACUGCAAGUAUGUGUCUACAUAGAAAGCCAACUCUCUCAAAUAGCUUGCACGUGCAAUUGUAUGCAUCCUUUUCUCUGUUGUAUUCGACUGUCGCCGGGGCAUUAGGAUGCAUAUGACGGUUCACCAAGUAUUUGAUUAUGUCCUCUCCAUCCUCAUAUGACUCAUUUACAACAUACGACGGCUCAUGCAACAAUUGCUUAAAAAAAUAUUCAUAACCUGCUCGAGUAUACAAUGCUUCGGCUUGUUCCCCAAUGAGAGUCAAGUUGGGAAUUUGUGCUGACCUGGUCAUGGUAGUAUUAACCUCUGCUUCAAAGUCACGGUAGCGAAUAUGCCUAAUUUUCUGCAGCAAUUUAUCUACAAGCUCAAUCAGGCUUAGGCCAGACUUUACGCAUACCCGCACAACAGAGUUAAUACUUUCGCACCGCUGGUUGCUUCUACACCCGGCAAAAAAAUACUCUCUUAAAUAGGCCUCUGCCCACAUUUCCUUUUUCUCAUAUAUAUUGUGCACCCAUUUCUGCUCAGCGACAGUCUUGUAUUCAAUUAACAAUUCUGCCCAUUUUUUCUCAAAAGCAUCGGGAGGACCCUUACAAAACAUUGCCUCAACAAAGCCUUUGACAAAUCCAUCAGUCCAAACAUUAGUAAUUGCAUUUUGGACGACGUGCCACACACACAACCGAUGUUUACUCUUAGGAAACACAUUUUCAAUAGCAUUGCGAAUGGCCGCAUCACCAUCCGUGAUCACCGAUUUAGGAGCGAUACCGUCCAUUGCUGCAAGAAAGGUUUUCAAGGCCCAUUCAUAAGAAUCUAUCGUCUCAUUAUUCAUCAGUGCAAGGGCAUAGAUGACAGUAUGUCGGUGGUUAUUCACUCCAGCAAAUACAACAAGGGGCAUGUCAUACCGAUUGGUACGGUAGGUUGAGUCAAACAUAAGCACAUCACCGAAGAGCUUGUAAUCCUCUUGCGACUGGGAAUCAGACCAAAACAAUUUAGUUAACUGUUUUUUUUCAUUAACUUGGAUCUUUUUGAAAAACCCAGGAUCACGCACAUUCAUAUCCUCCAAAAAAGAAUUCACUAGAUUGGCAUCCCCAUCGAUAAUGCGUUCAACCCUUGCUCUGUUCAUUUGAUUGUACAAGUCUCUGGCAGUACAACCGGCUGCUGCAUGACUGCCAGACUUUGAGAUGAUAAUAUCCAUAACUAAUUUUUUACUCACUCCCAAUGCAUAAAGGUUUUGGGCUAAAACUGCAUUGCUUAGACUCACUUUUCUAUGGGAUCUUAAGAAAUGUGAACCACCAGAUGGUGCCAAAACAUGGUUGUGCUGGGACAUAAAACCACGCACUGUCCACAUGUUUAAUUCAUCAUCAUAAACUAUGUUCAGUGCUGCAGGACAAUUGCAUCGGGUUAACCGACGUGCUUUUUUUCUUCGCUUGUGCAGAUUCGUCCAUUUACGUUCUCUAACACCUGCGCAUGAACAGAUAAAUCUUCUUCUGCGGGUUCUACCAUCUACUACCGUCUUGUGGUCCUUGCGCACACUAAACCCUUUAAACUUGGCAUACUCGUUAUAAAAAAAGUACGCAUCCUCAUCUGUAUUGAAUCGUGCCCUUAACAUAUCUUCAUCAGAAAUCUCACCCAUAUCGUCAUGAAUUUCAUCUUGCAGCCUUAAACCCACUUUAUAUAGAAAAUCUGCAUUCCUUCUCCUAGGAUUGUCACCCUCAGCCUCACUAUCAUCACUAAAAUCUUCAACAAAUUCAUCGACGAAGGCCGACAUAGCAAUGUGAUCGAUCCCUGAAAGAUGUCUAGUUAUUUCUAUAGUACACACACAUUAAUGUUUGGCUUCUUCAAUUAUAUUUAAAUCUAAGAAAAGCUAAUUGGGGGCUUAAUAGGUCUGAAAAGCUAGAAAAUUUGUGCAUUGAAAGGAUUAGGCUUGUAUUCAAAACCCAGACACAACAAAACGUACGUACAAUGGUUUGUGUAUUUCCCUCAAGGAAUUCAUUCACUAGCAAGCAAGAUCAUCUUAUCACACCAACCCAGACAGACACCAAGACUUUUUUUCACACGGAAUACGUUAUUAUUAACUACGUAUAUAUUUUAUCUAACCCCUAAAAUGGUAGCCGAAGGCAAUUGUUGAGUCAGUCAAGAUGUUUACAAAUCAUUAGCCAAAAAAAAAAAAAAAAAUAGAAUUUGAAUUUGAAUUUGAAGUACCACAUCAUUAAGCCAUAAAAACAAUUAAAACCAUUCAAACUUGAAAUAAUGUGAUCGAUCCCUAAAAGCCUCAAAGAUGCCUAGCUAGUUAGUUUUGUUUGAUCUAGGUUUGUCUGAAAUCCUGAUUGAACUUGAAGUAGUAAAAGAAAGCCUUCAAAAACGAAAUGCAAAACAGUACAGAUCUCACUAACCUUAAAUUCAAUCUUGGUUUAGUAGACAAAGAUGAAAAUCCCCGUUGAUAUACUGGCAAGAGCAACAAGAGACGCGCCGCUCGAAGCUUGAACUGUAGUUAAGUUUCAGACAACAUUAGUUUUUGGGAAGACAAUGAAAUAAAGAUCUGAUAAUUAAUUGUUUCUACACGUCGGAUUUGGACAGCAAAGUGGUAGUCGCGUUUUCUAGAGUCCACAUCUGUUAAAAUAAUAUUUUCUAUAAAAUUUUGUUGACUUUAAGUUAACAGGUAACAGGUUGCUAACUUUUUACACGUGGAAAAAUGCUUGGUCCGUAUUUGUCCGCACCGUAAUGUACCAAACCAUUUCGCACGAAAUAACGGCUAAAUGAAUCAAGACUCCAAAUAUCCUCCAGACCUCCAGUUGAAUUUCAGGCUGGGUUUAUCAAAAACGAAAUUGCCUUACAUGAGUUAACCGAGAGAUUGGUUCAUUUUAAUUUUUAAAUUAUAGAAGGGAACUUGAAAUGCUACAGGUAUUGUUUCUAAAAGGCAUUUCCAUAUCAAAAAUGUUUUAUCCAACUAAAGCAAUACAUUACCAUUUUGGCUGUGUAAUCGAUGUGUUGCAAUCGCAAUUCAAAAUUAACAAGUAACAACUAAUAUCACCAAGAUAAAUUUGCAAAGCAUACAAUCAAAUGCAGAAAAAUAACAAAAACUGAGUUCGCAUAAGAGAGAUUACCAAUAGCAAUUUGAGUUUCAUGUCAAACAGUUUGUAUCCAUAAUAAACCCAGGCAUUUUGUAUGUACAAAUCAAAUUAUCAAAUGCUAAUUAGAUGAAUUAUUGAUUCUAGGAAAACAAAAUUCCAUAUAAGGAGAUCCAAAAGGUGAAAUUUCAUUAGAAAUUUAACUUUCAACUUUCACAUUCUUAACAAAUAGCUAAACAUCUAUUAGAAACACUAAAUCUAAAGUAAUUUUUAAACAACAUCACAAACCCUAAGAAAGAAUUCAACAGUUGGUAGUGAGCAGUCACCUAGAUGACGCACCAUUUCCAAUUUCAAUUGAGACAAAACUUUCCUUGUAUUCAACAGCUAGUAGUGACCUGUCAGCUAGAAGACGCCCUUCGCCUUGAAAAUCCUUAAUUUCUUGGGCAGCAAGAUUGUAUAUGUAUAGAAUUCAUGUUCUUUUGAAAGUGCUUUUCUUGUGUUCUUGACUAGUAACAAGGGUAACAAAAGGUUGGGCAUAUUCAGGUAUAGGGCAUAACUACCUGCAAAUAAUCCGGCAAAGCCAGCAACUCUCUCUCUCUAUCAACUCAUAUAAAGGAGAGGCAGCAAAUUUUUGUUCUGUGCAAACUUAUACUUUAUCACAAUAUAUUGAGAAACAGAACUAGGGAAAAUAUUAAAUUGAUGAAGCCAGGAAAUGGACUACAAAUUUAGAUAGCAAACUACAAUAAACAUAAACCAAAGGGCAUGCAAACAAAUCGAACCAAAUAUAACUAACUCGCGAUUGACUUUCAAAUCAUUUGAACAAGAAAAUGCUCUCCAAUUGCAUAACAACAACAACAAUUUAAAUGUUAUACCCUGACACAAUGAUUCCCAUGUCGCAGAAGCCAUGAGGAUAAAAGUCAGAAUGGUCGUCAGUGAAGUAGAUGCAAUUCUCUUUAAAUUCUGGGUAGUCCGAAGUUGAGAUGGCAAAAGAAGUAUUAUUCCCUAGAACCAAAGCAUGGUCACCCAAAUCUUCUACUCAGCCCAUGUCUUAACUUAACUUGUACACCACAAAAUAUGUUGUUUCGUUGUACAAGCCUAAUGUAGGUAUAACAUCUACAGGAUCGAAAGCUCAUUCAACCAGACAAUUCAACGAGAUAAAAUGUGCUACAAACAUAUAUAUUAUCUGGGGGUGAUGCAAAAUCUAUUGUUUUAGGCUGAGGUGUGUUGACCUCACAAAUCCUUAGCAUUCCAUCAAAAGAAAUAGCAUAAAAGUGGCCAUUGAAGAAUAUGAUGUCUUGGUAGUUUGACCUAGAACAAUCCACGGAUGUCCAAACUUCAUCUCCAGGAGAAGCAACAGCAAGAUAACAUAUUUCUCCAUAUAUAGCCAUAACCAAAGGGCAUUGUCCAGACUCAGGGAUAGAUGGAUCAGAUGAAAGAGCAAAUCUUACAAAGUAACUCUGACAAGUGACAAAGGUGUUCAGGACAGUACGCAUCGAAUUGGUGUUGGUGUUCAAACGUGAGCUGUGAUGGAAGAGAUAAAAUCAGAAACCACCCAAUCACCAGAUUUAAGAAUUUAGAUCUUUGUUCUGACAAAUUUUCUAUACCGAGCAUAAAUAUGAGAUUGUGAAGAAGUUCCAAGAGAGGAAUCACAUCUGUGGAGUGACAGGAGACAGUGUGAACGAUGCACCUGCACUAAUUAAGGCAGAUAUAGGUAUAGUUGUUGCAGAUGCUAUUGAUGUUGCACGAGGUACUUCAGACAUUGUCCUUACAGAACCUGGUUGAAGUGUCAUUAUCAGUGUUGUGUUAACAAGCAGAGCCAUUUUCCCUAUCAUUGUUUCUUGGUUUCACUCAAUUGUGAUAUGAAUAUGUGAUUGCUGCUUUUCUUUUGCAGAUAUAUGCAAUCUCAAUAACAAUACGUAUUGUUGUAAGUGUUCUUCUGAAUAGAGAUGUUGACGACACCAAGAUUAAAUGUCUUUACAUGGGUAUAUUGAUUUUUAUUGCAUCUUUGCUUCUUGAUGCAGUAUAGUUUUAUGUUUAUUGCUUUGAUCUGGAAGUUUGAUUUCUCUCCGUCCAUGGUUUUGAUCAUUGCCAUCCUGAAAUCCUGAAUGAUGGUAAGAUUGUAUUUUGUGAACUUGUAUAAUACAUUCUUUUGUCUUGCAUUUUUUUUUUUUAUUAUUAUCAAAUGUAAAAUUGUAUUAAGGAUCAAUGUAAAACUAUUACAAUUCCUGAUCAGCCUGCAAGAAAAUUUGCAUCGUCAGGUUUCAGUUGUAGAAAACCCCAAGAGGGCAUUCCUCUAGCCAAGACUUACACAGGCAAAAGCCCAAAAAAACAGAACAGUACAUCCCACUAAGGCCACCCCAGUCUGCAGUCCUCCUGGUCAUCUUCACCACUGUUCAGUCAUCACUACCUUCCAGCCAAAAAGCAGGUCAGUCUACCUGAUUUUUCUUCGCAGUUCCAUCGAUUUGGUACGCCCAAGCUGUCGCUUUGAUGUCCUGCAGCACCUUAUGUGUUUCCACUUUUCCAUUGUUAAAGAUGGCUUCCUUGCGAGUUUUCCAAAUGCACCAUAUGACAACAUAAGGGAAGAUUUCGCAAAUUACUACAGCCACUUCCCGGCUAUUGAAUUCAGGCCAGUUCUGCAAAAGUUCUGUGGCUGAAUUCCAGCUUGGCAGGGCUUGUCUAGCUGCUGCCUUAACUGUCAGUAGCUCCUCCCAUAGGCCAUUGUAAACCUGCAAGUUAAGAACAAAUGUGCUGCAGUUUCUUCAGCCCUUUUACACAUACAGCAGCAGUUUGGAAUCUGCAUAUUGUCUAAGUAGCAUACUUGUAAGUGAGAUUUUGAUCCUGAUGCAAUGCAUCAUUCUUUUUCCACAAACAAUCAUGACGAUCUCAAAAGAUAGAGUGAAGCUAUCUCCAAUGCCCGAUAGUUGGAAACUGAAAGAGAUUUUUGCUACUGGUAUUGUACUUGGUGCUUACAUGGCAUUAAUGACUGUUAUAUUUCUGGCUUAUGAAGGACACUUCAUUUUUCUUGGUAUGAUUUUUAUGUUGAUAUUGAAAGUCAAAUGAUUAGGUUGCUUGUGUGUUUUAGAUAUAAAUCACUGUGGUUAUGUUUCUGCAGAGAGUAUUCAACAUGAUACCAAUCAGCAGCAAUGAUUAUGAAAUCACAGCAGCUUUGUACCUUGAUCAAGUUGGUAUCAUUAGCCAAGCGCUCAUUUUCGUAACUUGGUCUUUUUUUUUUAAAUAAUCCACACACAUUAUAUAGAUAGAAGAAGUUACUCAGUUUCCUGAGAUAAUCCAUUACAGAAAAGUAAAUCACUGCACAACUGGUCACAUAGCAACGUAACUCGGUCUCACGGCUUGUCUUUCUUUGAAUGUCGUGGAAAUCUGGAAUGCUUUUAAUGGGUGCAUUCUUAAUUGCUCAGCUGGUAAGACAAAAAAUUGUUUUGCCCACUUCCAUUAAAAUUGACUAUAGUACCUUUUCUUUACUUCGAGUUGGUUAUAAAAAUGUUUUCAGCAAAUAACAAAUCUGUGAUAAUAUUAAUUCUAGAUUUAUCGAUGAGGAUGGCAGAUAUAUAAUAUAACAUUUGAAAUGCCAUAUAACUAUUUAUUUAUUUAUUUUUAUUAAAGGUAGAAAUAUUACAAAGCUCCGUAGCCAAACUACAACCCUGAUCAGCAGGUUAACCCCGUCAGGUUCUCAAUACAGAGAAGUACAUAAUUAAAACAGAAUGAAUAGGUUCAGAUCACCAUGGCUGCCCACUGACUUAUCAGGUCCUGAACCUGGUGCUUUUCUCUUUCUUUCAAGCUCUUUUUUCUGAUCGCCACCCAAGCCCAUAUGGUGGCUUUGAUUCUCCUGCAUGCAGCAUCAACAGAGAAAGGUGCAUCUUGAAAGAUUGUUUCAUUUGUCAUACACCAUAUGCACCAUAAAACUCUGUACGGAAGGAUAGGCCAUAUAUAAGAACCCAGACCUGUCAGGUUGAGCUUUGGGCCAUUGUUUAACCUCUGACAUGAUGUGCUGCUGCUGCUGCACUAGCUGUGUUGCUUCCCUGCAGUUACCACUCAAUCUCUGCCAUAUUUCAGUUCUCUUUGUGCAGCCCAGAAAUAAGGGCCUUGUGUUCUCCUCUUCACACCCACACAGUACACAUCUGUAGCCAAAUGCCAUAUAACUACUUCCUCGGGUAUUGUUUAAACUAGUUAAAAAUUUUCAGGUGGCAACCUUGAUUGAUGUGUAUCCAAACUGGGAAUUUGCAAGGAACAGGGGGAUUGGUUGGGGCUGGGCUGGAGUCAUCUGGCUUUAUAGUCUUGUUACCUAUUUCCACUUGACAUUCUAAAAUUCAUUAUCCCUAUAUAUUUAGUGGAAAGGCUUGGGAGAACCUGCAAGAGAACAACCUAUAUUCUAUUGAUCUCGAUCUAGACCCUUUUUCUCUUUUUGUGGUCGGUCUUGUAGUUAUCUACAUGUGGUUUAUUGUCUGACAUUAAUUUUGUUACUACGAAUACAGACUGCCUUCACAACCAAGGACUAUGGAAAAGAUGAACGAGAAGUGCAGUGGGCCCUUGCACAGAGAACUCUACAUGGUCUUCCCAGAAAAGAGCAGUUACAGAGAACUGUCUGAAAUUGCUGAGCAGGGUAAGAGGCGAGCCGAGGUUGCAAGGUACUAUUAGCUAGAUGAAUUUAAAUUUCUAAAACCAAUUACUGUAUACCUUUAGCAGUACCCUAAUUUAUGAAACCAAUCACAGUACCAUUAUCCCUGAUUCCCUUUCACAUUCUUGUUACAUUGUCCUAGAAAGAAGAUUUAUUAAUCUGUUUUCUUAAAUUCUUACAGGCUUCGUGAACACACACAAGGGACAUGUUGAGUCAGUGGUGAAGCUGAAGGGACUAGACAUUGAUACAAUCCAACAACAUUAUAUUGUUUAAAGAACAAGAAACUAAGAGAAACAGUGUGGCUAUUUCGCUCAAAUACAGAACCAAGACGAGAAACCUAACUGGAAGAACAUUUUAGAUUAAGACGUUUUGAUGAUAUAGUUUCAUCAGUAUUUGCUAUCUUCAUUUUCUUUAAAAUGAAGCCAAAUCUCUUAACCAACGACUGAACGUCAAGAUGAUACUGGUAUAUACAGUAUAUGUUUCAUUUUUAUUUAUCUAUCUAUGAUCUCUAUUCCUUAGCUAUUUUUCUACUUUCUCAUAUGUUUACUUUUUUUGGUUUCCAGGGGAUCUUGCCAUUUCGAAGGAGACUGGCAGAAGGUUUGGCAUUGGAACAAACAUACAACCUCCUAUCCUCUUCAUUACUUGGACAAGACAAAGAUGUGUCCAUUUCUGCACUUCUGUACAUGAGUUGAUAGAGAAGGGUGUUGUUUUUGCAGAAAUAUUCCCAUGUAAUGACCUAUAUCUGGAAAUGCCGAACCCUUCUGUACAAAUCAUAAAUAUGAAAAUGCGAAGAAGUUGCAAGAGAGGAAGCACAUCUGUGGAAUGACAGGAUGUAUUAACCUAUUUCUAGAUCAAUGCAUUCACUAGGUCAGGUCGCUAGCAGACUUGACCAAAGGGGGGAGUUUUAGAUCGGGGUGGCUGCACCUCGUUGAGAUUGAGAUUGCCUACGUACUCUAGUUCUUGGGGAUUGAACCUAGAGAUCAAGCCAUCGUAGUUCUGUUAUGUAGAAGGUGAAGAGGCGAAGAUCUCGGGAUUCUGCAGAUUCUCCGACAUAUUUAUGGUGAUGAAAUAUUCUCCAAUGAUUGAGUAACGGUUGUAAUGAUUGUAUGACAGCUGGAGAUAUUAUCUUGUGCGCCGAAUUAGGGCAUGUGCGCAUAGCCAGAACGUUGUUGAUACUGUGGUCGUGUUGCUCUGGUCGAGUUAUGAGUAGUUCGAGUGCAUAGCGACCUGAGAGAUUAAUGACUGUGCCACGUGGCUGCUUUUUAUUGGUUGGAGUAUAUAGUACCCCUACACAGGAUAUAUGGUGUGAAUGAUGCACCUGCAGUAAAGAAGGCAGAUGUAGGCAUAGCUGUCACAGAUGCUAAUGAUGCUGCUCGUGGUGCUUCAGCCAUUGUCCUUACAGAACCUGGUCUAAGUGUAAUUAUCAGUGCUGUGCUAACCAGCAGAGCUAUUUUCCAAAGGAUAAAUUAAAUGUUGAGUUCUCCUUUAGUUGUUUUCUCUUGGUUUCAUAUGAUUUUGAAGUUAGUUAUUGUCAAUUCUCUUUUGCAGAUAUAUGCAGUCUCAAUUAAGAUACAUAUUAUUGUAAAUGUUCAUCAUAAUAGAAUUGCUGAGCCCCAAGAUUAAAUACCUAUAGGCGUGGAUAUUGAUUUCACUUUUUCAUCUUUACUUCUUGUUGUAGUUUGGGUUUAUGUUUACUGAUCUGAUCAGAUUUGAUUUCUCUCCAUUCAUGGUUUUAAUCAUUACCAUUUUUUUUAUUUUUUUUUUGGCAAAAGCAAGCUGAGGUUAGGCAGACCCCUACCAGAUUAAUUAAAAUAAAUAGAGAAUAACAUACAAGUCAAAGGAAUCAGGAAAACGCCAUUAACCAUAAGUACAACAGAAUCUCAAGGAAUCAGGAAAACGCCAUUAACUAGAACUACAAUGAUAUAAAAAAACAAAAUCUCUUAAUUAAACUAGCUAAAUAUGAAGAAAUCAAACAAAAAGAUGAAACCAUGAAAGUAUUUUAAACUAAACAAAUGGAACCCAAUAUAACCAACUCAGGAUUGACUUUCAAAUCAUUUGACCAAGAUAAAGUUUGACAACUUCAUAACUAUGGAAAUAAUAACAAUAAUUUAAAUGUUAUACAUUGACUGAUUGACACAUUGAGCAGAUGACACCCUUUUUUUCACUGAACCUUCGACUCAGGCUUUGUCUGUGAUUCGACUAGUGAUUACUUGCUUUGAAGCUGUGUCUGGACUAAAAGUUAACCUCUCCAAGUCAUCCAUUUCUGCAAUUGGGGAUGUUCACAACAUUGAGAGCCUAGCUCGGUUUUUUGAGUGUGGUGUGGCCCAGUUGCCAAGGAAGUAUCUUGGGUUGCCUUUAGGGGCGCAGUACAAGAAUGUGGAUGUGUGGAGCUCAGUCGUUGAGUCGUAUCAAAAGAAGCUGAGUGGGGUGGAAGCGAAAACUUAUGUUUAAGGGUGAUCGACUACUUCUUGCCAAAAGUAUUUUGGCGGGCCUUGCUAUUUAUCAAUUAUCUCUCUUCACUAUCCCCAUGAGCAUUGCUGAGAAACUUGAGAGGAUAGUAAGAAAUUUUAUCUGGGGAUCUAGUGAAAAUAAGAAGAAAAUGCACCUUGUGGCUUGGGACACGGUGUGCUCCCCCAUGCAAGAGGGGGGCUUGGGCAUUCGGGAUUUGAAGACCAUGAAUCAAGCUCUGCUUGCGAAAUGGAUAUGGAGAUAUGGAUUGGAAAAAUCUGCACUUUGGCGAAGAGUCAUUGAGGCCAAGUAUGGUGAGAGUGACAAUAGUGGUAAAACAAGAAAAACGUCUCAAACUUAUGGGUGCAGUUUGUGGCGCGGGAUCCAAGUUGUACAAGAGGAGUUCUUUGAAAACAUCAAGCAUGUGGUGAGACGAGGGGAUAAAACUCGGUUUUGGCAUGAUAAGUGGCUCGGGGAUACCAUCCUCUCAAGGAGGUUCCACAGAUUGUACAAGUAUGCUUCUAGGAAGGAGGGUACGGUGAAAGAUCAUUGUGGUGAGGAGGGGACUUGGGAGCUCCACUUGAGGAGGUCAAAUUUUCGUGGAAUUGAAGUUACCCAGUUGAACCAUCUUCAGGAACUUCUUGAGGGUGUUUCUCUUAGUGAUGGGGAGGAUGUUUGGGAGUGGGUUCUGACAGGGGAUAAUGUUUUCACGGUGAAGUCUUGCUACUCAAGUCUAAUGAGCAUUGGUCGAAGGCGAUCUUCCGAACCAUUUGAGUUUCCUUACAGAGUAGUCUGGGAGCCAAAAGUGCCUAUGAACGUCAAGUUCUUCUUAUGGGGUCUGAUGUGGGAUAAAACUUUGACUAUUGAUAAACUCCAGAGAAGAGGCAUGAUCUUGACAAACAGAUGUGAGCUAUGCAAAUGUGAUGCUGAGUCCACGAAACACCUCUUCAUUACAUGUACAGUCACUAAGGAGAUUUGGCAGGGUUUAAUUCCAGUUUGUGCUAGAGCCUGUGCUGGAUUUCAUACGGUGGAGAAUCCACAACAGUAUUGAAUUGGUGGCCAGCCUUGAACGCACAUGGUGUUAAAAGUAAGAUCUUGAAUAUCUUGCCGUAUGCAGUGUUGUGGUGUAUAUAGCGUGCGAGAAAUGAAGCAAUAUUUCAGGGAAAUAGCCAUAGUGUGGCUAAGAUUGGGGCUGCAAUUAAGGUACCUGUGUGGGCCUGGUUAAGCUGUGAUCGAGAUGGCUUAAAGAUGAGAGAAGACAUCAGAUUUGCUGAUCUACUUCGUGGUUGGAGCCAUCUUAUGCAAGAGCAGUGGUGAGGUUGACUAACAGUCCACCUGAUGAUAUACAGUCAUCUGUAUGUGCUGACCAGGCUUGUAAAUCUUGCUUUUGGUGUCAAAUAUAUUGUUACAUUAAUAAAAAAAAAGACACAUUGAUUUGAAAGACAACAUUACAGAGUAGGCAUAAAGAAAAUUGGGCGAGAAAACUUAGAAAGUUGAUGAUCAUCAAAAUAAAAAGGCUCUAUCCUAUUAUUCUUGAUAUCAUAGAUUCCCAUGUCGCAGAAGCCCCUUUGAUAAGAGUUAGAAUGGUCGUCAGUGAAGUAGAUGCAAUUCUCUAUAAAUUCUGGGUAGUCCGAAGUUGAGAUGGCAAAAGAAGUAUUAUUCCCUAGAAACAAAGCAUGGUCACCCAAAUCUUCUACCUCAGCCCAUGUCUUUGAAUUAAAAUCAAACUUGUACACCACAAAAUAUGUUGUUUCGUUGUGGAAGCCUAAUGUAGGUACAACAUCUAUAGGAUCGAAAGCUCGUUCAACCAUGCAAAGAUCCCCAGUCAAUUCAACGAGAUAAAAUGUGCUACAGACAUAUAUAUUAUCUGGAGGUGAUGCAAAAUCUGUUGCUUUAGGCUGCCGUGUGUUGACCUCAAUAAUUCUUAACAUUCCAUCACAAGAAAUAGCAUAAAAGUGGUCAUUGAAGAAUAUGAUGUCUUGGUAGUUUGACCUAGAACAAUCCACGGAUGUCCAAACUUCAUCUCCAGGAGAAGCAACAGCAAGAUAGCAUAUUUCUCCAUAUAUAGCCAUAACCAAAGGGCAUUGUCCAGACUCAGGGAUAGAUGGAUCAGAUGAAAGAGCAAAUCUUAUAAAGUAACUCU
rnacentral:lncRNA from 1 species